GGGUCAUUGAAGUUUCAAAAGCUAGACCCUGGCCAGGGUCUUUCUCUUCCUGCCGCGCUCCCUCAGAACUGGCUGAAGAACACUAGCUACUUCUCCAGCUGCGUGCCGCCAUGUUCCCUGUCAUGGGGAUAAAGGGACUAAAUCCCUCUGAAACGGUUCAUCUAUGAAGCAGCUGGCUCCAGAACCUUCUGCCUGCCUAAGGCCGAAUAAUGCUCUGCUUCUGAUUCCUCAGGCGCCACAUCCAGAAGCAGGAGAAGAACCUUAGGAGCAGUGUCCACUCUGCUCACAGACCCUGUUCAUCAUGGCUCCAAUGACUCUCGAUUUCCAUCUCUGCUGUGUUUCUUAGCCAGCACGGGGCCUGCAACUACAUCUCCUAUCUGGAUGCUGUGAGGAAGAAUGGACCCUUGCAAGGACACAGCUACCGCCCAGGGGUGCCUGGCGAGACAGAUUCUGCAAAUGUUUGUCAGCUCAGAGCCAGGUCUAGAAUGUGGCCUCUCUGGAGCUCGCUUGUUGGCUCCCCCAGAUGCAUCAUGGAAGGAGUUCCGCAUGCUCUGAGACAGUUUCUUCCCAGGAGGGGAUCAGCUUACUGGAGCAGCGCUGUUUUCUGUGGACCCUUGUCUAGUUGUGGCGGUUGCUGGGAAAGAUGAAGUCCCCAGACUGGAGCUCAGGCUGCAAAGAGGCUGGCAUGAAGCGAGAUGCCCCUUCUAGGCCAAGGCAAGAUCUGCUGCCCUCUGACUUCUACCUGUUGCUGAGAUGACUUCUGUCGCCAAGGCACCUGGAUACCGAGCCACUCCUUGACAAAAGCCCUCUCCAGCCUGCGUGGACCUCGCGUGAGAGAAGUCUAGGUGGCUGUGGGCAGCCCACAGGCUUCCGUUGCCGCUGCGUUACAGCUUGUCGUCUUAAUCUUGAAAUGAGACCUGGUUCACUUGAUCUCAUUAAUAAAAGGUCUGUGCUCCCCCUAGUCAUAAAAACACGCCACCCUCCUGUUCACUG
rnacentral:lncRNA from 1 species